rnacentral:RNase_P_RNA from 1 species
GAAGCUGGCCAGACAGUCGCCGCCCGCAUUGCGCGGGGGGAGGAAAGUCCGGGCUCCGCAGAGCAGGAUGAUGGCUAACGGCCAUACGCCGCGAGGCGAGGAACAGGGCCACAGAGACGAGCGUAUUAAGUUACGGUGAAACGCGGUAACCUCCAUCCGGAGCAAGACCAAAUAGGCCGGCAUCGGCGUGGCUCGCGCCGCCGGCGGGUAGGUCGCUUGAGCUUGCGAGUAAUCGCACGCCUAGAGGAAUGACUGUCCACGACAGAACCCGGCUUAUCGGCCAGCUUCUUUU